rnacentral:lncRNA from 1 species
GAUUUGUAACGAUCUGGGCCUGGCCAGCCCGGAUCCUCCCUUAUCCCACGAGAAGAACAGCACGUCUUACAGGGACACAGAGACCCUCCAUGUGAGCUACUGUCCUGGGAACGCUGGUCGUACCAAGGGAAGCCCUUUGGCAGGCAUGCAGCCUUUGUUCCUCUGCCUGCUUAAGCAAGCUUCUCUUAGGGGCCGGUUGCGGGUGCACACUUCUGUCCAGCCGGCCGCUACUGGACACGCAAGUGGAAAGGGAGUUUCAGCAUCAUUGAAUGACUUUCUUUUGGUCAUAGAAUUAAUAUGGAACAGAAAAACAGCUUAACGUCUCCUGACACCAAAGCCCAUGCUCAAUUCAUUAAUCCUUGUUGGAUCCAGACAGGAGAAGAGGGCUCAUUGCCAGCAUCGCGACAGCUUCCCUAACUGAUUUCAUGACACCUCUGAAAAAGGCAAAAUGCUGUGCUGCCACUUAAACAAAGCUAUGGCCAGACCGUGUGGUGAAGGCAAAGUGACCUGCAGUAGCUCCAACCUGCCGGCAGCGCCCCUUGGCUCAGGUCCCUCGCGCUCCUGGACUCACCUGGUGCUGAGGACCAGCGCCGGCAGCAGAGGCGGCAGGUACAGCGCCGGGCUGAACUGCAUGCUGUCGCCUGCCGGGGCCUCCUUCCCUCGCUGCCUCAAUCUCUUGCCUCCUCUGGAUUCGGUCACUUUUUGGUGCUCGGUUCUGUCCCAGGCCGGCGAUGAGUCCUCUCCAGGGCGGACAGACAAACGGACUAACCGACCGACGUCUCACAAAACCAGGAGCUGGGAGCGUGGAAUCAGCUCUAGGACUGAUGCCCCCUAGAGGCGAGCCCUGCCCAGGGUCGUCCGACGCCGCCGCUCCCGAGCCCGGAGGGCGCGUUGUCACUCGCGCUGGAGGCGGCGCGGGGAGAGGGAGGGGGCGCCCAGCGAGGGCCCCGCGCGCUCGGGUCACCGGGCUGCGCUCUGGUCCACAGCUGCACACCCGCCCGAGGCUGAUCAUUUAUCCUGCUUCUCCCGAGGUGAGCGGGACCCGGUCGAGGACAGAAAUCUAAUCCUCCAGUGUUGAACCGGCGUGCUCAGCAGGAGGUGAGAUGCCUGCCACAGCAUGGCUUGGUAAGCAGUGCAUAGGUCCAUGCCUGGGAUUCGAAUGGCUGCGGGAGCUGAGCACGUGAACUUAACCACUGAGCCAUCGGGCAGGCCCCUUGCCAAGGUUUUCUAACAAUAGCUUUCUUGUUCAAUUUGGGAGGUGGUGGUUUAAGCUGCAUAUACAAGGACAUAUUGCUGCUUGGUUAUAAGAAAAAGAAUAUAUUAGGAAAUUACAUUCAUAUCUUUAGAACACAUUCUUUUUGCGUAGCAGGAUUGCAUUCUUUCUCUUAUAACCCCAUGGAGAAGACACGUGUGCUAGUCAUUUUUGGUAUUCUCGUGUACAGCAGAGUCAAAGGAGGAGGGGUGGGCUCGGAGAGGCCGAGUAACUUCUCAAGGUCACUUGGUAACUGAUGUAGUCGCGAUGGCAUUCACAUUCAGUCUGUGUCACUCCAAAGCUUGUUCUUUCUUGAGGAACACUAUAUAAGGAAAGAUUCUUUCCUAUAUGAGGAAAGAUUUUUCCUUUUUAAAAAACACCUGUAUAUGCUUGUAUACCAACUAAAAUUUUAUUACUUCUAUUAGCCAUAGUGGAAUAAAAUAGCUAUCAGACUACCACAGUUUUUCAACCAAUGGAAAGGAUCACCAAAAUAAACUUUGCUCAGACUGUUUCACGAUUCUGUUGUACUGGAGUAUCAAGUCACCAUAAAUAACCCCAUGGAUGCUUGGCCUGCUGUGCAUUUUCUGAAAACAGAAAAAGAUACCUAAUUUACCAGCGUGUGAAUGUAUCAGGGAAUAACAUCUUGGAAUGUGGACCUAAGUGAGGUUUUGGAAACUACUGCAGAUUUAGAGGAUUGAAAUAUUAUAUGCCGAAUCACAGUAAAGAUCUGCCUCUCAAGAGAAGUUUUCUUUUCUUGUAAAAGUACAGGACUAAAUCUUCAUUGCCCAUGACAUUCAGUCCUCAUGGUCACAAGUAAACCCAAAUACAGAAAUGAUUUUAUGGCUUCAGUGUUGGUACAUAGAUUGUAAGGAUCCAGCAGUACAGACAGCGGCCUCACUUAGCCGACAGUCUACAGGCUUAUGCUCCAUCCUCCUUCAGGCUGAGGGAGAAAUGUUGGCACCACUCAUACCCCAGCCUGGAUAGAGAAUAUCAGAAAGACCCAUGCAGUUCCCCUCAGAGUCCAUCCUCCAUACAAUGCUGUGAUUUGGGAGCAAUAGAGGCCGGUGGGAAUGAGCAGACAUUUACUGAAAAUCAUCUAAGCUGAGAACUUCGAUUUCAGUCAUAGCUGGUCCACAUUCUAACUGAGAUUGGCCCUAGGUGUUAUUGUCCUAAGUCUAUUCUUUUGUGCAUGUCUAGUUUCUACACAAUAAUUAUUUAUUCAUUUAUGUAAUAAUUGCCCAAUUACGUUUGUCCUAUAUACCGAACGUUGCGCUAAGUACACCAAGUUGAUUCAAAGGGAAGUCAAUCACAUUUUAGUUUCAAGGGAAACAAAGGGAAAAUCGGACCUGAAUAACCAGUGACACAGAGUGACAGCUGCAGUCUAUUGUCUCUCUCUCGGCGUCAUGCUCUGAUCUACUUUCAGGAUUUCCUCUCUCUUCAUCUGCUGUUCUGCUAACCCCUGGAAAUUGAGCUUAGCUUACCUCUUUUAAAAUUUCUGCAUUUCUCUUUCUCCAGGUGAGUGUAUGAUUUUUAUGUUUUGAAUAUCACCAAUCAAACUCAAUCCAAAUGAACUCCCUUUCUUCCUAAAACAUAAUAAAAUUUAUUUAAAAAUUGUUUAUAAUAUAAUUUUUGACAUGAGUAUUUAUACUAAAAAAUGAAAGGGUAAAGUUUCAUGAGAUAAGCUUCCUACUUAAAAGGAAAAAGAAAAAUAAACUCAGCAAAUUUAGAAAAAAGAAAAUAAAGAUAGAUGUAUUAAAAUUAAUAACAAACAUGGUUUUAUCUAGGAAAUGCAAAGAUGAUUUAUAAUAAUGAAAAAAAACCCUCUAGAUUAAGUAAGAAAAUGUAGGAUAUCUUUUCAAUAAACUGAGAGAAGUAAUUUGAUAAAAUUUGACACAGGAUAUCCAUUUCUGGGUAAAACAGAAUUGAUUGUGGUAGACCACGUAUCUGGUGGAGAACAGCUAGAAAGCCAGAUUAAAUAAAAAAAUAAUAAUUUGAUUAAUACUGAUGUAAAGAAUGCUAGAGAGGUUAAGUUUCCAGAGAGAAGAGAACCUUGAGAUGUCAACUCCCCUUUGAAGUUUCUUCUCUUUCGGGUCAUUUGUGGAUUCUAGGCUGGCAUGAGAGGCUGAGAAUCCACACUUUCUGCAAGCAGACUUGACGCAAACUGGUCAGGGACAAGAGAGAGAACAGAACUUUUAGCAGUUUUACCAGGUUGGAGUGACAAAAUUGAAGGCAUAUAGGGCCCCAAAAACGCAGUCAAGUAUGCCUUCCCAUUGUCUGCAUUCUCUGUCUUCUUGAGUGGAAACCUACAGUGCUAAUCGGAAAAGCUGUGGAAAGCAGAACUUUGAUGUGUUGAAGAGACAAAUAUGUGAGUUCAGGACUUCAGAAGAGGGGCCUGGUGGCUAAGCCAGUCUCUCUGCUGAAAGUUCUGGAAGGUUCACUCUAAGAACAGGGGCAAACUAAAGGCAGAAUCCUACACAGCAAGCCACUCACCCUGCACUCAGUUCCUGAUUGGAUUAAGGUGAUCCCACUCACUGAAGAAAUGUGAGUGCACUUAAGGAAAAAUUGCUCAAAUCCAAAGACAAAUGGAAUAUCUAGAUGGAUUAAAGACGUCAGUGUGUCCUCACCAAAAAAAAAGUAAGAAUAAAGAGUUUUUAUUAUUUCAUGGCAAAGAUAAAUUUCUUUGCAAAAGCCAUAAAUGGAAAAAACACCAUAGGAAAACAUUACUGAAUUUAUUAUAUUAAAGUUAAAACUUCUUUCUGCUUUCAAGACUCACAGAACGAGAAAGACAAGCAUCGGAGUUGAGACCCAUGAAGGACGGCCCGAAUGUUUAGCCGGAAAUAGAUUUGCCCUCACACACAGGAAAGCCCAGCUUCCAGUGACCUCAAGUUUUGAUUGGACUAAGAUGAAUCAGGAUUUCAUGUGACUCUUCAAACUUAAAUCAGGUAUAUUAUCUCUGUAGUUCUCAAAUUAUCUCUCUAUAUUUUUCAUAUUUAAUGUUCAAUGCCAAAAGAGAGGACAAAAAAAAAUACCCAAACAAAUCAAACAAACCCACAGACUAUUCAGAUAAUGGAAUUACCGUGCAACCUUUAAAGUCACUAGGUCUGAGAGUUAAAAGAAAAUUUUAAAACACUGGAGAAUUAUGUCAGAUGACAGUAAACUAUUUAAAAAGAACCAACAUAAGAAGCAAAUCUUGAGAGCGCCAUGCCAUGAGAAGGCCACAGUACUUCGAGAGGCCACCUGGAGGUACCUCCACCAGCAGUCUGGGAGUUACCCCAACCCAAGGACAGCUGUGGCAGCAAGUGAAUCUUCACAUGACGAAGUCACGGUAGUCUUUGAUUCUCCUCAGGUGACAGCCCAGAGCCGAAAUAAACCAUCUCCAUUGUGUUGGAAUUCCCGGGCCACAGAAACUGUGAGACUAAAAGAAAGAAAAUUUUUUUAAGUUGUUUUAAACGACUGUGUUUUGGAGAAAUUUGUUCUGUGGCAAUAGUAACUAGAAUACUAUUAAACUUGAAGAUUAUUAUACCUAACAAUUUAACAACUUUAUCACCAGAAAGAGUCAUACCUGUGCACACAGAGACAUAUAAUAAUGGCCAUUGUAGUGUCUUCAUAAAAGUGAAAAAUAUAGAAAACAAAGGAUGCAGCAAUGGGAGAAUCGAUACCAAAUUGGUGGUACAUAUGUGCGAUAAUUUACCAUUAAUAGGAUCAUAAGAUAAAGCUCUAGGUGUCUGCAUGUUUCAACUUGGAAUAAAAAUGGCCAAGAAGAUGCAGCAGAAUUGGGUGGCACUGUAGUUUUCCUCAUUGGAUGACACCUUUUCUUUGGACUCCACUUUUUACUUCAGGGCAAUAAGGUUUUUGUUGGUUUGUUUGUUUCUAGAUGAUUAUGGCGAUAACUUUCAGCUUAAAAAUGUUCAUAACUCUAUAUUACAGUCUUAGCUCAACUCUGUACAGAACUCUAAACCAAUAUUAAUGUCUAUUUUCUACUUAUUCAACUUGAAAUUUACAAAUGUGUAUUCUUUAAGCAAGAAAAGAAGGACAACUCUAGAUAGACAUUCAAUAAAAAAAAAUCACUAAAAACAAAGUCUUUGUGAACUAACAGCAGACUGGCACAACCUUUGGCUUCCAGGCUUAUUGUGUCUGUGAAGUCCUGGAUCUUCAUUCAUUGUGCUCUUACUAAUUACACUGAGUUCAAGUCAAUCAAGUGCAAUCCCAUAGUGACCUCAGUGGUUACUGUUUUUUUUUUUUUUUUGAGGAAGACUGGCCCUGAGCUAACAUCUGUGUUCGUCUUCCUCUACUUUAUAUGUGGGACUCCUACCACAGCAUGGCUUGACCAACCGUGCCAUGUCCACACCCGGGAUCCGAACCGGUGAGCCCUGGGGCCACCGAAGCAGAACAUGCGCACUUAACUGCUGUGCCACUGGGCAGCCCCUCAGUGGUUGCUCUUAAUUGUGAACUUUGCAGAAGUACAUCUCCCACUGGAAAUGGAGAGGGUAGGGGCUGGCCCCGUGGCCAAGUGGUUAAGUUUGCGUGCUCUGCUUUGGCAGCUCAGGGUUUCACUGGUUCGGAUCCUGGGCACAGACACAGCCCCGCUCAUCAGGCUAUGCUGAGGUGGCGUCCCACAUAACAGAACCAGAGGGACCUACAACUGGGAUGCACAGCUGUGUACUGGGGGACUUUGGGGACAAGAAAGGGGAAAAAAGAAACGCCAACCUUUAAAAAAUAAAAAGGAAUGGAGAGGAUAAAAGGAUAUCUUAUUAUUAAAAUAACAAUAAUGUACUUUUCAGUGUAGAAAGUACAAGGACUAAGGGAAGAAGACGUUUUCUGUAGGACUUUCUUGUUUUUGUAACUAACCUACUUUUACUUGCAAUUGUUUGAUACUGGGUGCAAUUAACUAAUUUGAGUGUUAGAUCCUUCACAUUGGCAUCAGAAAACAAUAGCAGGCAGAGAAAGCUCCCCCAUGAAUGUAAUAUUCAGCUGCCAAACAUUUUGAAAGUCAGCUUUUAAAGUCGUAUCAACUAGAUAAAUUCGACUGACAGUAUUUUUUUUCCUUACACUUUAAAUUUCUCCUCUGGAAAAUAGCAAUUAGUGUUCUCGGGCAUCAUGACAUUAUCGACUCACUAAGUGUAGAUCUGGUGUACUAAAGUUCUAGGAAUGGCAGAAUUUGCUUUUCAUGUCUGACUGGACUCACAUAUUCCAAGAAAAUAAUAUCAGAAUUAAAAUAACGGUGCAUAAUAUUAAUAUGAAUUUGAAUGUAUUGAAUUUCCAAAAAUAUAGUGUCACACUCUAGGAGUCUUGGAAAGUGCAGAUGUUUGUGUCUAGAGCUUAAUCAUGUCUGAUCCAUCCUUGUUAUUCUUUUGGCUGGACUUGCUGUACAAAGAUAAUGUUCGUGAUGGGAUUGUUAAAAAGGAGAAGAAUUUUCCUAGCUGUUGUUGUCUAAAAAUGUAGCUAAUGCUUUCUUAUGUUUGAGGAAAAGCUCAAUAAUGACAAUCAUUGAUUGUGGACUACGAAGAGCUCUUGGUUGGAGGUCAAAGGAGUGUAUAUUGUUACUACAUAAACCCUGUGUCGCUUCUUUAUCUCUAAAAGGGAGAAAAAAUCAUGAUAGUUGACAGCUUCCUUCUGAAACUAUACUAUUUAUAAUUAAAAUCAAGAGUGCAAACAGAUUCUUUACAAGUUGUUGUUGUUGCUGUUUUUAAUUUGCAAAACUCUGCAAAACAGACAAGCUUUGUGUUUCUAUAUUUGCACAAAAUGUGUUAUGAGCCCCACGGUAAUGGUGUUGUUUAACCUAAUGUAAUGCUCUGCCAGUGAUGAGGACAAAGCCAUCUUAAUGGGGGUGGUAGUGAGAGUGGAUUUACGCGAAGGACAUCUCCAAUCAUUGCUGCUGUCCAUCAUCCGGGGAAGAGGUUCUGUUUCAUACCUAAUAACACACCUGAGGAAACAAAUCUGAAGCUUAGACGGGGACAGGGGUUGGGAAUUCAUUACAUGGGGGAAGCUUUUUCCUCCCCUGAGAUGACCCCAGAAUGGGAUAUGGCUAGUGAGCAAGAUAGCUGGGAUAAGAUCAUAAAUCUUUAUUAUAUCAAUAAUAAUAUGCUUCCUUGUGACACAUUGCAAUCUUUGGCAUCUCAUGAAAUAUUUCUGAUAGAUGCCAUUCCCACUAUGCCUCCUAAUGCUCACUAACCAGGGAAGUUAUGGAAAUGCAAAUUACAGAAAGAGCAUCAACGACAGUGUGAGCAGGGACUCAAAGUACACACCGCGAUGUCAACUCUCUUCCCUACCACAACGUUUCCCCCUUCCCCUCACAUAAAAACUGAAGACACUUAUAUAUAUACAUUUUUAUUUACUUUUAUAUUCAUAUAAUUUCCAUAAUCUGAACAUCGUUUCUUCAUUAAAGGAAAGAAUUAGACUAGUCAGUGAGUUCCAAACACUUAUUUUCAACAGAAGAAACCUUUAUUGAAUAAAUGCGUAUAUAGAAUCCCCAUGUAAAACAUAAAAGUAAAGUUGUUUUCUUUGAAUCAUAUGUGAAAGCAAUGAGGCUGGAUUUGUACCGUUAAAGAAACAGAAUCAGUAGCAAAAUCUAAUACAAACAAAAUCUCAUGUUCCAAGAAUUUCACAGGGAAAUUUUUCUGUAUGUUCGGGGAACAGAAGGCCCUAGUUUAUAGUCAGAUGAUAUGAAAGAAAGCAGGCUCUCAAACAUGUUUUAUGAAACUUAUAAACCAUUAUAUCAACUCGCCCCCUGAGAGAACGAUGCAAGAAAGUAAGAUUAUAGAUAAAUAACAUUUUGAGGUUAAAUGCAAAAAUCCUAACUAAAAUGCUAUAAACAGAAUUUUAUGGCCUUAUACACACAAGCACACACACAUACACAAAUUAUGGUUUAUCUAAAGAUCAAAAACUUUGAUAAAUAAAAUCUUGGUAAAAAUUAGGGAAAUGGUGAAACAGGUGCUCUUGAUAAGGUUUGUGUGUGUAUAAUUAGUAAAAUAACUAUGUAGGAGAAUUUGUCAACACAAAUUGCAAUUUCAAAUGCACUGCACACAGGCCUAAUGACCACGGCUAUCUGAUGAAUGUCCCUACAUGUGUGAACUCAAGUAACUAAGGAUAUUCAAUGCAAUGUGAUUGUAGUAGUGAAAAAUUGGAAGCCAUCUAAAUAUCAUCCAGUAGCAGUUGUCAAGUAAAUUAUGAAAAAUAUGUCUAAUGGAAUUUUAUACAAGAAAUACAGAUAUCUAUUCAGCUUCAGUGAACCACGUGCAAUUUCCCAAGCCCACUGGAACCCACAUAAGAUACCCUGUAACAUUCAAUUUAAGAACUUCAACUCCAACGUGGCAAAUCUUCCAAGCACGAUUAGCAUUAAUUAUUUAACAUGAUUAGUGUCUAUAGUAUGCUAUAAUUUUAAUGAGGCUGAGAUUGAGGCUAGGUUCAUUGGAGCACAAAUCUUUCUCCUGUGUUCUUUUUCUUUUAAAACCUUUUGAUUUUCACAUCUGAACAACAAAUGCAGUCUAAUGUCCACAGAUAACCCUGCUUGAAGAAUAAGGUUCCCGGAAGCUCUUAUUGAGAAGACACUCUGGUGCCCCCUUUCGAUUCCCUCUGUAAGUAAAACAGUCUUCAGUACAAGAAUGGAUCAGUCACUGAAACCUUUCAAUUGCCCAGCUUUGUGUUGUUAAAAAAAUGUACAAAGUUGAAAUUGUUCGGUCAGAGCAGGUCUCUCCCAGCUCUGCCUCUGUAUUAUUGCGUUUUCUCGUAUUUGUGUUUACAUGUACAAGUGUAGCUUCCAAAUCAGAGUGUGAGCUCCUUGGUGAAAGGUGCUUUUUCUUAUCACUUUUCUAAUCUCCCAUCUAUUCAGAUGGCCCUAAAGAAUAGUAAAACAGGAAGCUGAUCUACGUGUCUCUGUGUGUGUGACUGAAUUGAUUUUAAUGUUCAAAAGAGAAAUAGUUUGGGAUAUUUGGGGUACACAUUUCCCAUGGCCAUUUUGUCUUAUUUCUGACUUUAUAGCAAAAGUCAUUUAUUUAAUUAAUUAAACAGAAACUGCCAUUCCUUUGUGCAUCCUUGAUGUCCCAGGGCCUGCACUGAGAGACUGAUAUACAUUGUUAUUUAUCGAUCUGCAGGACAAUGCUGUGAGGUGGACCUUAUUGUUUUCACUUUGAAAUGCAGAAAUAGGAGCUCAGGAAGGUUAAGUAUAUUGCUCAAAAUCACAGAACUGUUAAGAGUUCCUGCUGGGACUCAGACCUAUUCUUUAUGAUUAAAAUACUUAGCCAGCAUGCCUGAAAGAGGUUUAUGCAGUGUAAUUAUGUUUACUUUAUUUUAUCUCUGCUAUUCUAAAACAUUUUUAAUUCUGGUAAGACGAGUAUUAGCUUUCCAGUUUAUGAACCAUUGUACAUUUGCCAUUUAAUUAUAGCAAGUUUAAUGAAUUGCUGUUUUCUAGACUUUCAAAGCGUUUCUUCUUGCUACAUCCAGAGGUGUCCAUAUCAACACACACAUCUUAGACAGAGAUAAAAACUCUUCUGCGUCCUCAGGUUCAUCAAGCCCUCUGUCCCGAGAACUGCCUGUUCUUACUGAGCUCAUUCCCCGAAUCGUUAGUAAUCAACUGCCGUGAUGUUAAAGAUGGAAAUCUAAUUACGAGAAAUGGAAGCGUGUGCGCGCUUACCAAUUACAUGCUCAACACAGGUUGUUGAAGAUGGUGAUGAAAUUCCCAAAUACUCUUUCUGCUGGGAUUAAGGAGCAGAGAUAGAUAUUCGGAACCCAACUUCCUGCCAGUCACUCUCACUGACCUCAGCUGAAGCAGCCUCCUCUCUGGAAGGUCUCCAGCCUGAAAACUAGCAUCCAGAGUUCAGAGCUUCCAGACCUUAAGGAUCACGGACUAUAACCUGGAGAAUUUAUUUAUCAAAAGAGGCAUCAAAUAAAAGACUCUUUGCAGCAUGUUGGAAAGGACCAUACUAGGAUGAGAAGAAGAUGCCAUCUGUUGUAGACAGCUGUCCCAAGACUCCUGACCAGGUAUGUACUCACAACCUUGUGUGUCUCUGCAUUUAAACCUUCCUUAUGCUUAAACUGUAUACCUAUUUUAUAACUGUUCCAUUUAAGGUUUCAAAAUACUAUCACACUUAAACAAAGUGACUAAUUUGGAACAGACUGGUCUUGAAGGCCGAGCAUUUAUCGGGUGGCUCCUAACAGAACUCAGUGGUUAUGUGGAAAAAAUCUCUCCCCUUGGCUACUGCCUGGAUGGCUAAAACACUGCACCCUGAGCUUCCUUUGGAUGCAGGAAAGGAUCCAGACUGAGCUGGCAUCUGUUUCCAGUCUUCCUCUCUUUAAGGCCGGAUGAGCUCCUUCAGUGUUCCACUGGUGUGACCACUGAGAAGCUAGCUUUAGUUGUUCCUCCUUUGGCAUUAGAAGACGUCAUAUCACAACAGAGGCGCUUAACAGUAGUCAGGCAGGAAUAGCCUUAUUAGAUACUGAAAUGCCUUUAAUGACAAAGGCUGUCCUUCAAACUGAAAUGGCCUUAGAUAUUGUUACAGCAGCCCAAGGUGGUAUAUAUAAAUCAUUCAAACUGAAUUCUGUGUUUUUAUACCUGAGGAAUCUUCCAAUGUGUCAUCUCUGCUAAAGCACAAAAAGAAAAGCUGAUGAAUGCCUUAAGCAAUCCUAUAUCUGGUCUUGAUUUGUUUAGUUGGCUCCCUUCCUGUAUUGGCUUCUACUUGUGACCUGGAUUGCAAUUCCUAUUUCUAUUACUCCUUGGAAUUCUUGUAUUGGUCAUAAUAUUCGAACUAAUUACUGUUUUCUCAGUGUUGUAUGACUGGCAUGCAAGCUAGAGUAAUGAUUGCUCAGCAACUUGACAUGGUUGAUGGAUCCUACAACCCUGAAUGAAUCCCCUUUUAUUAAGGCUAUGCCUAAGAAUUCAUUUUUAAGCUAAUCAUUUCAAAUAUUGGAUUACUGUUCUAUUUUAUAAACAAUGUAACUAUAAGAAGUCGUGUAAAAGCACAUGUAUAAUAUUUGUGCGAUAAUCUAAAAAUAAUUGACAAGUUACAUAGCCUAGGAAACACUUCCCCCAUUAAUAUAUAUCUCUAUGCUUGUUUCCUCCCAAUCUGGAUAACUGGGCAAAUCAAUGAAAUAAAAGCCUGGCACCCAGGGCAGGCAGCAACCAUCCUGGCACCUAGGGACAAUAUUUUGAUCAGCAAUGCUUUCUAUUGAAAGAUUAUUGAUCAAAAGGAGAAAUUGACAAGAGAUUUUCACAUUUUGAGCUAUUUGGGCUAACUAUUCAAGUUCAAAACUGAUUUGGCUUGAACUAGAAAGCCUGACUUAUGGCCUAUCAAACAUACAUUGUAGAUCUGCUUGUCCAUUAAAGUAAGGACUCUCUCUUGAGAUAAAGAAUGCACACUGCCCCUCCUACACCCUAUUGGUAACACCUGGAUCAGUCCCUUUCCUGGCAUCAUGGUCAUGUUGACCUGCUAAUUUGCAACUGAGUAUCUGUUUGAAAAUGUAUCCUGGGUGUGUUUAAUGUAUCUUCUUUGUUCUAAAAACAUAUAAGACUGUGCUGAAACUCAAGCUUCUCUGGAAUGCCUUCUAAGGCCUUCCUGGAUUAUAAUCCUCACUUUAGCUUAUAAUAAACUCACCCCAAUUUUGAUUUAUAGGUUGGUUAUGGAUUAUUUGCAUUGACGGAGACAUAUGUUGGGGUGGCCAAUUCCAAUCCCCCACAAAAUGCGAUGUAUAAAACUCAUGAAGGGCAAGCAUGGUGUGUUAGCAAGUACCCCUAUUUUUGCUCUGUUGUUUCUUCUUUCUUCCUGAUCCUUCAGGAUUCUUUUAUCAUUUCCUUUCUAUUUAAACUUCUUUCUUUCAGUCCUUAAGAGUAUGUGUUCUAGUGACAAAUUCUUUAGUUUUCCUUUCCUGUGGCCGAUUCCCCCAUUCUGAUUCCACUCCUCACUUUUGUAUCUCUUGGUGGGUAUGGGGCUUCUCAGGCCCAAUGUAGAAGAGCACUUUCACUGGCUGCUUAUUGUUGGUGAUUCCCAUUUGUUCCAGGAGAGAAAUGAGCCACCUUGAGCUUCCUUCUGCUGCUAGGCUGGGGGUCAGGAAAAAGUGGCGUGGGUCUUCUGUUGAAUGGAGAGAUAUAAGAUGCCCUGCAGCUGUGUUCUCCAAUCCUGGAGGCUCAUCCAGUUCACCUUUUCCUUUAUCACCUUUCAGAUUUCCCCUUUGCUUCUCUCACAUUAUUUGCAUGGCUUAUAAUUACACUUAGAGAGGAAAAGAAGGGAGAAAUACGUCUACUGUCUUCUGAGGACCAGAAGUCAUAAACUGAGUUUUGCCUUACCAGUUUUAAUGAUGCCCAUUACCAAAAACAGACACUCAAACACUCCAUUGGAUAUGUAGUCUUUUGGAUUCAGGCUCAUGCUGAGUCCUUAAAUCCUCGUGCUUUAUAUACAAACUCAUGGAAAACAGGAGAGUUUCCAAAAGUCCAAAACACACUGACAAUAGGGAGAUUGCUGUCUUCACCAAAAUUUGCCCUACAAGUUUACCUGUGCCUUAAUCCUAUUCCCCUGUAGAAACUGCAAAGUUUAUCUUCAUUGACCCUUCUGCUCUUUGUUCCUUCUGGGUGAUGUUCCUUUCUCCGCUCCUGGGGUCUUUCUGCUCUAGCAAGCAAUAUACACAGGUAUAACCUUAGGCAAAUCCUCUUAUCAGUGAUUCAUAGUUCAGACAUUGAUGUUCCCUUUGCUUUUCUUGCUAGAAUGCUUGCAUUCCGUGUUCUCUCCAUCCAUAAUUUUUCUGGUUGACUGUAGCUUAUUUGAUUAAUGUAAGUUAAGGUGUUAGUUUAAACUAUGCUUGCCUUUAAACUAAGAUAUUAGCUUAAAUUAGCUUUAUUUAUGCACACAUUACGCUUCCUAGAAAAUAUUUGCAUUAUAACAAGACUUUUCAGUGUCUCAACUUCAAUGUAGAUAUUUAAUACUUUGUAACUAGAUGGUGGUCAAAAUGUUUUGGGCUUCUGUUCUCUUAUUUAUAGAGACAGGAGUUGAACUAAUUGACAUGUAGAGUUAUUCCAGUAUUGUGAUUCUAACUGAAUAGAUGUGAAGGUGGGUAAUUAAUCAUGUCAUUUUCCCCAUUCCUACAAUAAUAAGAAAAAUCUCUAUCUGCUCCAAAUUAAAUAAUUAAUGAUAAGGAAAGGCAUACCCAUGCUGAAUUUGCCAAAGAUUUACCAAGUGUAUGCAUCUGGGGAGCAUUGUGGAAUCAUUUGCUAUAUUCAUAUGCUACAAAUAAACAGACGGACGGAAAAGCAAAUGAUUCUCUAUCACUUUAACAAUAUUUUAUUUUGCUUUCUCUCUGCAGGCGUGACUACAUUCCGUAGUUAAAAUAUGCUUUUGCCACAGAAAGAACAGGUUGCAACAUGUGUCCUAUGUCUCAGGCCAUUGGCUCCUAGUUUGCCACUAAAGUAUUGAGGAGAUGCUACAUUUUGGGCUUUGUUUACUAAAUCUCGGGUCUGCAGGAGAUUCGUUUAUUAGCAUUCAGUUCAUAAAUGUGUCAUAUUAGUUGAAGGCUAAAUUGGUAAUCUUAUUCUAUUAAGUUAAUUGAUUUUAUAUAUUCUUCUUGCCUUUUCAAGGCAAAGGGAGAUAAAAAAAAGAAGGGAAGAGGGAGAGAGGAGAGAGAUAUAAUUAAGAGAGAGAGACAAUUCUAUCUACUCAAAGUAAAAACAAAUUUGAGAAGUUAAAUAAUUGAGCUCAGUUUUCUGCCUGUGAGAUGGGAGAACAAUGUGGUGGAAAUUCAGCACCCCAGUGAAUGCUCAAUAAUUAUUUCCAUUCGCUCUUUUGUGAUGGGGUUAAAUCUGAAAUAAAUGGAAAAGGUACAAAAUGAUACUUAUCUUUUUUUGUCUUCCUCAUCUAAUUGGGGGCUUUAGGCUAAGUGAUCAAGACUAUAGAUCUGCCUCUAUUCAUGACCUAAUUUCUUUCCAAACUCCAGAAUUUCUGGGUUUGUAAGAGUGGUGCAACCAUAGGGAAUACAAUUGAUUAAGACAAAGUCACUAGAACCAUGGUGACGAGCUGUGUCUUCAGCAACUGUGGAAAUGGCAACAGGGAGAAAAUAAUUGAGCAUAACUAGGCAGUUAGAGAGGAUUUUGAGCUUUUACUGAGUUCUCAGAUACUUUCUUCAUUCAGUUGUACAAAGAUUUAAUUGCAUUUUCCCCUUCUCUGAAUUCUAAUCUUUUUAUUUCACAAAGCUCGAGUGAUUUCUGAACAUCACAUUCCACUUCUGCAUAGAUAAGAGCUGCUUCAUAAAGUUCUGUUAAAGGACAUUGUUUACUAUUUCUCUCAGUUUGUAGAAUGCUAUGGCAGAGCGGAUAAAGGAGCCAAGGUUGCUUUUUAUAUCUUUCACUAGCAAGACUUCAUGGCGUCUUUGUUUUCUUGUCAUACUAUUGGCUGCAUGCCACUAUAGGCAGAUCAUUUUUUAAGUCAAAUUUGUAUAAAUCUUAUUCUAAUUUAUUUAUUUUAUUAACAAGACUAUGUUUUGCAUGCUGGUGUCCAAGUAAGGGACUCUGAAGGUUUAUUUAAAUGUAAACUGCUACCAAGAUGAUAAUUACACCAAUAUAGAGGUAACCUCGAGCGGACCAUUUUCGUAAUAGUGUACAUGCUCUCUUCCAUAUGCUUUUAACUGACAUAACUUUUCAUAUUUGUUCAACGGAGCAGGGUUUUUUGUUGAUUAAAAAUACAUGUAACAAAUUAGAGAUGUUUAGAAACAAAAAGUAAAUUACUUUUUCAAUCCAAAUAAAAUUAUUUUUACUGUCGCAUAUGAGUGUCUGUUCACUAUCCACAUGCACAUGCAUUUUACCUAAUUGUGGUUAUUAUGCAUUUGGCUUUUCUGCUUCUGAAAUCAUGUUACAAACAUUUCUCUUUCUCUUGAGAGACUGCAGAGUUAUGAAUUCCAAUCUUAUUCUCUGUUGAUAUUCCAUAAUUUGCUAAGCCAUUCCUUCUUUUAAGACGUUUAUGUUCUUAUCCAUCUGUUAUCUACUAUCUUUAUAUUUUUGUAUUAAAGAUUAUUUUAUGAUCUUGCACAUGUAUAUUUGUAUAUGUGUGUAGUUUCUGUUCAAUUAUUUCUCUAUGAUGAAUUCCUAGAAGUGGAAUUACAAGACCAACAAUUAUAAAUUUCUAUGUCACUCCUGCUGUGUACUUUUGCAAUUUUUCCUAAGAAGGUUGAUAUAAACUUUUUUAAAUGCUUUACAAAUUGCAUGAUUUUGGAAGUGUCAACAGCAUGUAAAAAUUAUGAUUGUUUGAAAAUAUAAUGUGAAAGUCUGGCCUAGUGUCAAUAUACAUAAAAGCCCCAAAAAUGUUUUUCUUUGAAUCAGAAUAUUAAUGUUUUGAUUUUUAUUUACUGUACUCAAUAUUUAAUAUCAUAGUUAAAAAAACAAUUAAGCAAUCAAGAUUUAGAGAUUUUUGAAGAAGUUUUGCCACUUUUUUUUCUACUUGUUUCAUAUGUGGAGAGAUCCACAAGCUUAGUAAGAAAAUAUUGCUUUUAGCGCGAUGCACGUCUAACACAUUAUGCUAUCCUGAAUACUCUUUAUCAUAUCCUAGUAAUUUUGCUAUAAAUAAUCUUUCAGAAAAUAUUUUUAUAGAAGACUGCUAACUGAAAGUGUGCUUGUCAGAUAAAUUGAGGUCUUCUUUUGCCAGGCUGUAAAGACUUUUUUGCUGUUCUUUAUCCAUAUUGUAGUGAUUCAAGAGUGUCUGGAAUUACAUUUUACCUUUUGUGAAAAUUUUGAAGAUUAUAACAAUGAAAGCAAAUCACAACAUGUGAUUAAAAUGGGGCCUCCUUAAUAGUUUAUUAACCUUUAGAUACACUGAGGAAAGCAGACAGAUUUCAUCUUAUGGACCAAGUCAGAUACACUAGUGUGGCUGUCUGGACCGUGUCGUUGGGAAUGGCAGAGAAGACUCAUCUUGUCAGCAGGAGAGCAUGCUGGGAUGCUGAGACACAGUGAUUUGUCUUGUAUGUCGUUGGAACAGGGUGGGAGUAUAUUGGCCACAUUCCUACCAUCCAGUAUCUACGUCUUUUUAUACUAAUCCUUCCAGUUGAUCAAUAUGGAUAAACGGGUGUAGGAAACCGAGAAAGGUAAGUGAGCCACUUAUAGUUUGUAAUUCUCUGGAGAAACUUUUACUUAGUCAAAAAAACAAACAUCAAGCAUGUGAGGCCAUACAUUCGUUGUUGUCCAAAUGUUCUACUGAUUGUCUGUCUCAUUUAUAGGGCUAUAAACCAAAUGCUGCUAAUUGUCACCCAUCUACAAGUUCACAUGAAGUCAUGGCUACAUCUGUCUAAACUGGGCCACCCUCACCUCUCACUUGUCUGACUCAGGGGCAGUGUACAACAAUGGAAGCAAUGUCACCCCCUAAGAGACAUUUAGGAAAUGUGCAAAAAGCUAUAUGGUUCUCACAACGAUUGGUGGGUGCUACUGACUUUGCAUAGGUAGGGAUGAGAGAGCCUAGAAAGCUGAGAUGCAACUUUGUUCUGCACAACAAAGAAAUCUUCAAUGUCUGCAGGAAUCUCCAGCGUCCAGCAAUGCAAACCUCAGCAUGAGUACGUCCCAAGAGCUGGACAGGAAGAGUGCCACCCCAGCCCCACCCAGCACAAACACUCAAAAAGUGAGCUUAUUAAAGAAUUUAGGGGGUGCCUCCUUCACUUGGGAUCCACACAGCUGUUAUAGCCCUAAAUGUCCUCUCUUUUUAUCAGGCCCCAGGGAAACACUCAUUUUAACAUCUUCAAAACAAAAGAUGACUGUGUCUGAAUGCGGUGAGAUUUCUGGGUGCUGUCGCUGCUUGAAGGGGUGCAGGGAGUACUUGAGAGACAUAAAUGCUUACACAGAGAAAAGGAAAAUUAACUCGUCAAGUUCUUUCUUUCAGGUAACAUAAAUGCAAUCAAUUCUGGAAUAAUUAGAAACUGUUUGCUGUUUGCAAGAAGUGCUGAGCAUCCAUUUUCUUGUUUCUCUCGAUGCUCCAGUUUGUGGUUCCAGAGUUAUUCACAAAUUCAUGUUAUGGUCUGAACACUUGUACUUGGCUCCAUAAGGAACAUUUUAAAACAUGAGGUAGUUCAUAUUACUCUUAAAUCUGUGUAUUUGCAGGCCUGUAUGUAAUGAGCAAGAAACAAGAUACCAAUUCAUUACACUGGCCACAAAAAGGACACUGAAUGCUAAAUGUUGAGAAUAGUUGUAUUUUAUAAACUUGCCUAAUAUGAAUUAAUUAAAAUUUCUACUUAUUUAAAUAUGUUUGAUUUGAAAUUUGGUAUUAAUUUAUAUAAAUAUGAGGUUUGCCUUUUAAUUUAAUAAAGUGUUAAAUAAAACUUCUUUGGAAAACAUAAAUUUAAAAAAGUCCAACAAUUUAGGAGGAGGUCAUUAUUGAGGAGGGGACUCAAAUAUUAGUCAUAGCUUUGUCCUGG